rnacentral:tRNA from 1 species
UCCUUGCUGGCUCAGUGGUAAAGAAUCUGCCUGAAAAGCAGGAAAUGUAGGUUCAAUCCCUGAGUCAGGAA